AGAGCGAGAGCCGUAUUUACGCUACUGCUGCUGUUGUGCGUGUGUGUCUGCGUAGCGGCCCAUCACUUCAGCAACGCCCCACCAACCCAACCUUCCCGUCCACAGCACCUCCCCCUUCCCUCAUUCCUUCGACUGCGCAAUCAUGGGCCGCUUCAAGCCCCUUGCUGUGAAGAAGAAGUACGCGAAGAAGAUGAACCAGAACAAGCCGGUGCCGUACUGGAUUCGCCUUCGCACGGGCAACCGCAUCAAGUGGAACGAGAAGCGCCGCCACUGGCGCCGCACGAAGCUAAACUACUAAGACCGACUGACGACUCUCUUUUUAUUCCCACUGCCAUCCCGCUCACUUCUACUCACAUGUACGUGCGUGUGUAUAUGCCCCCCCCUCUCUCACUCUGUGCUUUACAUCGUCGCCCCCGACCUCCGUCUGCGCACGCAGGCGGGCGGACUGAAUUGAUGAAGGGAAGCUGCAGAAGAAGGGAGUAGACGCGUAGCACAACCGCCGCGAUUUCGGGGUGGCAGCUGGCACGCGGUUGGUAGAUGGACUCGGUGUGCGUGGUUGCGUCGUUGCACGUGUGCAGUCGUGUGCGUGUCAGCGGAUCGGUGUCUGUUUCGGUGUACCGGUGUGGGAGUUGGUUGCCGCCUUCGCUCUCCCUUUCCUUGCGCGCACUCUUGUCGUUGUUCAUCAGGCACAUAUGAGGCGAGAUCCCAGCCAUCACGCCUUUCAUGGGCAGAGCUAACGCGAGCAGUCACCCGCGUGCGCUCCCUCUUUCUCUCGUUUCUUCGCUUCAUCUUCUUUUCGG
rnacentral:misc_RNA from 1 species